rnacentral:pre_miRNA from 1 species
GAGGGGAGGCCGGAUCCUGGGCUGUGUCCCGAGCCCCAGUGUUCCAGGUCCUGCGCUGGUGGAUUCGCGCUCCCGGCGACGCAGCCUCCU